ensembl:lncRNA
AUCGGAUCUGCUAUAAUCCCAUGAAAUUGGAGGUGCGUGGUCGUGGGUUGUAAUUUCCCUGCUGUAGACUUCCACACAUCCGCUAACACUUGCGUGAUACGGGAAUUUCUGUGAUAGUAAAUUCCAAUUAUGUAUUAAUAUGUUUUUCGAAAUGUCUGGAUCAUGCACGUCACAUAAAUUCUCAACUGCCACAGGCGCGUGCCUCUCUACCUCAUGUUUCGGAAGACAAGCCCAGUGAAAAGAAGCCAACUCUCCCUGUCUCCUUAUCUAUCCUGUUUUCAGUUGAAACCGGGAUUCAUACUUGAAGAGCAUACUUCUCCAGCGUGCCAGUGGCCAUCGAAGUUUCAUCAGCUGUCCGAGUGGCUGGUCUCAGACGAUCCUGGAGGUGAUGAAGUCCGUUGUGGAGGUCCUGGGCUGGUGUGGUUACAUGUGGUCUGCGGUUUUGAGGCCGGUUGGACGUACUGCCAAAUUCCUUAAAACGUUGGAGGGGCCCUAUGGUAAAGAAAUUAACAUUCAAUUCACUGGCAACAGCUCUGGUGGACAUUCCUGCAGUCAGCAUGCCAAUUGCACGCUCCCUCAAAACUUGAGACAUCUGUAGCAUUGUGUUGUGUGACAAAACUGCACAUUUUAGAGUGGCCCAGCAUAAGGUGCACCUGUGUAAUGAUCAUGCUGUUUAAUCACCUUCUUGAUAUGCCACACCUGUCAGGUGGAUGAAUUAUACUGGCAAAGGAGAAAUUCUCACUAAGAGGGAUGUAAACACAUUUGUGCACAACAUUCAAGAUAAAUAAGAUUUUUGUGCGUAUGGAACAUUUCUGCGAUCUUUUAUUUCAGCUUAUGAAACAUGGGACCAACACUUUACGUGUUGCGUUUAUAUUUUUGUUCAGUGUAUUAUGUAGGCCUACCUGUUUGAGCUCCUGUUAGACAGAUUCAAUUUAAUUUCUCAAGAGGAGGCUGUACAGUCUUUCCCUCUACCUGUGUCUGUUCAGAUAGGACAUGUUUUAAGCAUGAUACAGAGGCUAUUUCUUUUGGGCAAUUCUUGCGUAUAUUUGCUAAAGCUACUUGUAUUUUUCAUACGAUAUUGUGCUUUCACCACUGGAUAACCAAGAUCUAUAAAUAAAUGUACACUCUGAGCACGUCAUCUUGCCUUGCCUUCUGCUGAUUUCAUGGCCUUAUGACUGAUACAAGGUCCCUAUUUUACAUUUACACAAAAUAAUGAAAAGGGCUGUCUGGUAGACUCAAUAAAUCGCCAAAAUAAUGAAAAGGGCUGUCUGGUAGACUCAAUAAAUCGCCAAAAUAAUGAAAAGGGCUGUCUAGUAGACUCAAUAAAU